CGGCGAGUGAAGCGGCAAUAGCUCAAAUUUGAAAUCUGGAGCCUUCGGCUUCCGAGUUGUAAUUUGAAGAGGAUGUUUCGGUUGCGGCCACGGCCCAAGUUCCUUGGAACAGGACGUCAUGGAGGGUGAGAAUCCCGUACCUGGCUGUUGGCUUGCUUCCAUGUGAAACUCCUUCGAAGAGUCGAGUUGUUUGGGAAUGCAGCUCAAAAUGGGUGGUAAAUUUCAUCUAAAGCUAAAUAUUGGCGGGAGACCGAUAGCGCACAAGUAGAGUGAUCGAAAAGAUGAAAAGCACUUUGAAAAAGAGAGUUAAACAGUACGUGAAAUUUGUUGAAAGGGAAGCGCUUGCAAUCAGACUCGCUUUCGGUUGAUCAACGUUCCUUCUGGUUCGUGCACUCUGCCGUUGGCGGGCCAGCAUCAGCUGGGGCGGUGGGACAAAGACUUCAGGAAUGUGGCUCUCUUCGGGGAGUGUUAUAGCCUGUUGUGCAAUGCCACCAGUCCCGGCUGAGGUCCGCGGUUUAUCCUAGGAUGCUGGCUUAAUGGUUGUAAGCGACCCGUCUUGAAACACGGACCAAGGAGUCUAACAUCUAUGCGAGUCUUUGGGUGUCAAACCCAUGGGCGUAAUGAAAGUGAACGGAGGUGGGAGUCUUCGGAUGCACCAUCGACCGAUCCUGAUGUUCUCGGAUGGAUUUGAGUAGGAGCAUAGCUGUUGGGACCCGAAAGAUGGUGAACUAUGCCUGAAUAGGGUGAAGCCAGAGGAAACUCUGGUGGAGGCUCGCAGCGGUUCUGACGUGCAAAUCGAUCGUCAAAUUUGGGUAUAGGGGCGAAAGACUAAUCGAACUAGUAGCUGGUUCCUGCCGAAGUUUCCCUCAGGAUAGCAGUAACGUUUUCAGUUUUAUUGAGGUAAAGCGAAUGAUUAGAGGCCUUGGGGUUGAAACAACCUUAACCUAUUCUCAAACUUUAAAUAUGUAAGAAGUCCUUGUUACUUAAUUGAACGUGGACAUUUGAAUGUAUCGUUACUAGUGGGCCAUUUUUGGUAAGCAGAACUGGCGAUGCGGGAUGAACCGAACGCGGGGUUAAGGUGCCGGAAUGCACGCUCAUCAGACACCACAAAAGGUGUUAGUUCAUCUAGACAGCAGGACGGUGGCCAUGGAAGUCGGAAACCGCUAAGGAGUGU
rnacentral:rRNA from 1 species